rnacentral:rRNA from 1 species
CAAUAGCGUAUAUUAAAGUUGUUGCAGUUAAAAAGCUCGUAGUUGGACUUGUGGCGUACGGUGUGUUCCGGGCACUUGUUGUCUGAGUAACCUGCUGUUGCCAUCCUUGGGUGGAACCUGUGUGGCAUUAGGUUGUCGUGCAGGGGAUGCCCAUCAUUUACUGUGAAAAAAUUAGAGUGUUCAAAGCAGGCUUAUGCCGUUGAAUAUAUUAGCAUGGAAUAAUGAGAUAGGACUUUUUUGCUAUUUUGUUGGUUUGCGCAAGAAGGUAAUGAUUAAUAGGGACAGUUGGGGGUAUUCGUAUUCCAUUGUCAGAGGUGAAAUUCUUGGAUUUUUGGAAGACGAACUACUGCGAAAGCAUUUACCAAGGAUGUUUUCAUUAA